CUAAGUUGUGAAUGUCGAGUUAGAGUUAAGUUGACCUUCAAACCCGCUCGAGUUGCACCUGUAUCCAAAAGGCAACAAUAGUACGAUUACUAUCAUUAGAACAUAUUUUUCAAAAACAGAUGAGAUAUUUUGAGGAGCAAAUGAUUGAUGGGUGAAGCUGCAUUUCUUUGCAAUGAAAUAGGCAUUAGUAUACACUUAAAAAUAGGCAAUAGUAUAUGAUUCUUUUACUAUCAUUAUAAAAUAGGAAAACUAA
rnacentral:lncRNA from 1 species